AUGAAUCAACAGUUCAUCCAAGUCCAUGCUUUUUUCUAGAAUGUCCAUGCACUCGAUUGAUUUUCACUGAAUAAACAACUAACAAAUGAAUGACUGAAAACAAGCAAAUAGAGUCAUAGCAAACAAAGUCGAUACGACGAUGAACUUUGUAUUCAACUGGUAAGCAAAAAACAGUGACAAACUUGUUUGAUUUUUCAGCUAUACAGCUAGCUAGUGUUGUCAUCGAUCAACCACUCACUGUCUACCGGUGGCCCAAGCAUAUGGAGGAAUUCCCGGUCUCCGCGACGGACGAGCCCUUACGGCGGAACAAAGGUACCAGCCAGUCGAUGAUUCCUUUGUUAAAAAGGUUUGACAUAAUUGAGCUGCUAGAAUCUUGUUAAGUAAAGUACUCCUUAACAAGCUCAUCAUCAAGCUCAGUGAAGUUAGCUAACCGAGUGAAGGAGAGCUAAGACAUUAAGCUAUCAUCAAGCUCAGUGGGAGCCAUUAAUGGCCAUCAGACCCUCUAGAAUG
rnacentral:lncRNA from 1 species